rnacentral:rRNA from 1 species
CAAGGUGCUGCAUGGUUGUCGUCAGCUCGUGCCGUGAGGUGUCGGGUUAAGUCCCAUAACGAGCGCAACCCCUAUCACUUAGUUGCCAUCAGGUCAAGCUGGGGACUCUAAUGAAACUGCCUACGCAAGUAGUGAGGAAGGUGGGGAUGACGUCAAAUCAGCACGGCCCUUACGUCCAGGGCUACACACGUGCUACAAUGGCCGGUACAAAGGGCAGCUACCUGGUGACAGGAUGCUAAUCUCAAAAGCCGGUCUCAGUUCGGAUCGGAGUCUGCAACCCGACUCCGUGAAGUUGGAUUCGCUAGUAAUCGCGCAUCAGCCAUGGCGCGGUGAAUACGUUCCCGGGCCUU